rnacentral:rRNA from 1 species
ACGGGUGAGUAACACGUGGGUAACCUACCUAUAAGACUGGGAUAACUCCGGGAAACCGGGGCUAAUACCGGAUAAUACAUGAAACCGCAUGGUUUCAUGAUGAAAGACGGUUUUGCUGUCACUUAUAGAUGGACCCGCGGCGUAUUAGCUAGUUGGUAAGGUAACGGCUUACCAAGGCAACGAUACGUAGCCGACCUGAGAGGGUGAUCGGCCACACUGGAACUGAGACACGGUCCAGACUCCUACGGGAGGCAGCAGGC